UACGUAGGGGGCUAGCGUUGUCCGGAAUCAUUGGGCGUAAAGAGCGUGUAGGCGGCUUGGUAAGUCCGCUGUGAAAGUCCAGGGCUCAACCCUGGAAAGCCAGUGGAAACUGUCAAGCUAGAGUCCGGAAGAGGCGAGUGGAACUCCUGGUGUAGCGGUGAAAUGCGCAGAUAUCAGGAAGAACACCAAUGGCGAAGGCAGCUCGCUGGGACGGUACUGACGCUGAGGCACGAAAGCCAGGGGAGCAAACGGG
rnacentral:rRNA from 1 species